AACGAACGCUGGCGGCGUGCUUAACACAUGCAAGUCGAACGGAAAGGCCCUGCUUUUGUGGUGUGCUCGAGUGGCGAACGGGUGAGUAACACGUGAGUAACCUGCCCUUGACUUUGGGAUAACUUCAGGAAACUGGGGCUAAUACCGGAUAGGAGCUCCUGCUGCAUGGUGGGGGUUGGAAAGUUUCGGCGGUUGGGGAUGGACUCGCGGCUUAUCAGCUUGUUGGUGGGGUAGUGGCUUACCAAGGCUUUGACGGGUAGCCGGCCUGAGAGGGUGACCGGCCUCAUUGGGCCUGAGAUACGGCCCAGACUCGUACGGGAGGCAGCAGUGGGGAAUAUUGCACAAUGGGCGGACGCCUGAUGCAGCAACGCCGCGUGCGGGAUGACGGCCUUCGGGUUGUAAACCGCUUUCGCCUGUGACGAAGCGUGAGUGACGGUAAUGGGUAAAGAAGCACCGGCUAACUACGUG
rnacentral:rRNA from 1 species